GUGCUCUAGAGCUCACAGGCCACGACUACUGGGCCUGUGUGCUCUAGAGUCU
ensembl:miRNA